GGUUAAGCGACUAAGCGUACACGGUGGAUGCCCUGGCAGUCAGAGGCGAUGAAGGGCGUGCUAAUCUGCGAUAAGCGCCGGUAAGGUGAUAUGAACCGUUAUAACCGGCGAUACCCGAAUGGGGAAACCCAGUGUGAUUCGUCACACUAUCAUUAACUGAAUCCAUAGGUUAAUGAGGCGAACCGGGGGAACUGAAACAUCUAAGUACCCCGAGGAAAAGAAAUCAACCGAGAUUCCCCCAGUAGCGGCGAGCGAACGGGGAGGAGCCCAGAGCCUGAAUCAGCAUGUGUGUUAGUGGAAGCGUCUGGAAAGGCGCGCGAUACAGGGUGACAGCCCCGUACACAAAAGCGCAUGUGCUGUGAGCUCGAUGAGUAGGGCGGGACACGUGGUAUCCUGUCUGAAUAUGGGGGGACCAUCCUCCAAGGCUAAAUACUCCUGACUGACCGAUAGUGAACCAGUACCGUGAGGGAAAGGCGAAAAGAACCCCGGCGAGGGGAGUGAAACAGAACCUGAAACCGUGUACGUACAAGCAGUGGGAGCCCCACCACUAAGCCAGUGGUGAACUCCACAUACGCAUCCUUUGCUGAGGAGACGGUUAACGGAGCGAAAGCGACGUUCAACCUCAAAACAAGCAGAGGGGGCUUAGUGGUGGGGUGACUGCGUACCUUUUGUAUAAUGGGUCAGCGACUUAUAUUCUGUAGCAAGGUUAACCGAAUAGGGGAGCCGGAGGGAAACCGAGUCUUAAUUGGGCGUUAAGUUGCAGGGUAUAGACCCGAAACCCGGUGAUCUAGCCAUGGGCAGGUUGAAGGUUGGGUAACACUAACUGGAGGACCGAACCGACUAAUGUUGAAAAAUUAGCGGAUGACCUGUGGCU
rnacentral:rRNA from 1 species